UUGGGCGUAAGGGCUCGCAGGCGGUUUCUUAAGUCUGAUGUGAAAGCCCCCGGCUCAACCGGGGAGGGUCAUUGGAAACUGGGAAACUUGAGUGCAGAAGAGGAGAGUGGAAUUCCACGUGUAGCGGUGAAAUGCGUAGAGAUGUGGAGGAACACCAGUGGCGAAGGCGACUCUCUGGUCUGUAACUGACGCUGAGGAGCGAAAGCGUGGGGAGCGAACAGGAUUAGAUACCCUGGUAGUCCACGCCGUAAACGAUGAGUGCUAAGUGUUAGGGGGUUUCCGCCCCUUAGUGCUGCAGCUAACGCAUUAAGCACUCCGCCUGGGGAGUACGGUCGCAAGACUGAAACUCAAAGGAAUUGACGGGGGCCCGCACAAGCGGUGGAGCAUGUGGUUUAAUUCGAAGCAACGCGAAGAACCUUACCAGGUCUUGACAUCCUCUGACAACCCUAGAGAUAGGGCUUUCCCUUCGGGGACAGAGUGACAGGUGGUGCAUGGUUGUCGUCAGCUCGUGUCGUGAGAUGUUGGGUUAAGUCCCGCAACGAGCGCAACCCUUGAUCUUAGUUGCCAGCAUUCAGUUGGGCACUCUAA
rnacentral:rRNA from 2 species